rnacentral:rRNA from 1 species
CAGUAGCGUAUAUUAAAGUUGUUGCAGUUAAAAGCUCGUAGUUGGACUUCUGGUUUGGUGCGCUCGGCCCGCUCCCUUUAGGGAUGUGAGUGUUGACGCGCGCCUUCCAUCUUUGUACAGGACCUCUCUGCCCUUCAUUGGGACUGGAUUGGCGAUGUGCAUCUUUUACUUUGAAAAAUUAAGAGUGUUUAAAGCAGGCUUGUGCUAUGAAUACAUUAGCAUGGAAUAAUAACUUAGGACUUUGGUUCUAUUUUGUUUGGUUUCUUAGGACCGAAGUAAUGAUUGAUAGGGAUAGUUGGGGGUGGCUAGUAUUCAGCGGCCAGAGGUGAAAUUACUUGGAUUCGCUGAAGACUAACUCAUGCGAAAGCAUUCACCAACGGAUGUCUUCUUUAAUUCAAGAACGAAAGUUAGGGGGAGUCGAAGACGAUUAG